AAUGUUAUUGGGCUAAGUUAAGUUGGUUUAGCUGGACCAGGCGUAGUGCAUCGGCCCAUUACGGCCCAACCUGGUCGGGUCAAGCCCGACCCAGGUCUCCUCCUCUCUCAUUUUUCUCUUCCUCUCCUUCCUCUCACGCGAAACGACACGCUCCCGAGUACCCCCAAUGGCGACGCCGUGUUGCCGCCUUCUCAUUGUCUCUCCCGCCCCUCUCCGGCGCCGGAGAGGCGGGGUUGUGCUUUAUCAUCUCCUCUUGCUCGAUUUGGUCCUCGCGGCUCCUAGCGUUCUCCCUCGAUUCCUCAAACCCUAGCAAUCGCCGGUGGUUCUGGCCAUCGCUGGGCUUCCCCGCCGUCGCUGCUCUCCACUCUCCAGAGUGUCUUCGCUACCUUCUCCUCCCUUUAACUCCCAAGAUCCGCCAUGGCCUCUUCUUCUGUACACGCAUCCCACGGGAACCCCUAGCUCCGCCGCGCACUUGCGCGAGCUUAGGCUGCUCGCCCUCCUCUUCGACUCCAACACCUCCCCUUCGAUCUCCUCGUUGCCUCCGUCAACAACCUCGACUGCAACAUCGAGCCCCAUCUCGACCCUAUUUCCUCGUCCUCCCUUGGUCGCCUGUGUUGCCUCGGUUCUGCAGUUCCGCAGUGGUGUGGUGGUGGUCUUUUUUUUUUUUCUUUCGAAAUGGUGGUGGUGGUCUGAUGUGCUGCUGGUGAUGGUGGUGCUGCUGCUUGACUACACCAUAUCUACCUCGACUACGAGCUUGGCUACGCCUCCGGUCAGGUUUUGGGGAGGCCUUGUACCAGAGAACGCAUUGAACCCAAGUAAAUUGGAGGGCCUACUAAAUGCAGGAGUUCUGGGACUUAAGGGCAUUGUUGAAGGACUUUAUCAAGGAUGAGGUGCUUCAGGAUGGUAACAACAAUAUUGUCUUGGUAGAGGAGCAUGUAAACAAUGAUUUAUUUGCUUCUUUUAGUCAACAUGUUAUUUUCCUAUGAGCUUAGUGGAGUUCUAGACAUUGCUUGUUAGCCUUGCUAGCUAGUUCACAGGUAGUGUAGUGUGUGGGAAGUGGUCUGGGUUUGUGAUGCUGCCAAAAGCUUCAUGCAGCUUGUAUUGCAUAGUGCUAUUUAUAGGAUACAAGCUAGGUACAACAUGUAGAUUUCUAAAGCCUUCUAGAGCUUUCUACUGCUAUCCUUUUAUAGCUAUCUACUAGUAGAGUUUUCCAGAGUGUUCUACUGGCUAAGGCUAAGACUUACAUAUGUAAUGUACUCCUAGAACAUACUAGAACAUACCAGCACCUACAGUACUACUAGAAGGUACUAGCUAA